AGAGUUUGAUCAUGGCUCAGGAUGAACGCUGGCGGCGUGCCUAACACAUGCAAGUCGAGCGGGGCAUUGUCCGGCACCGAGCAUCCGGUGGAAGAAGUGGAAACGGUCAUGGCAAGGAUUUCAGCCAUGAUGGGAAACGCAAAUGACAGGGGAACCUGGCGUUUGCGAAGCGCGCACGGCAGGGGAACCUGGCGGGGGCGGAGAAGCUUUCUGACACAGGGUGUUGAGUGUCGGACAAUGUCUAGCGGCGGACGGGUGAGUAACGCGUGAGCAACCUGCCUUGCACUGGGGGAUAACGUCGGGAAACCGGCGCUAAUACCGCAUGAGACUCCGGAACCACCUGGUUCUGCUGUC
rnacentral:rRNA from 1 species